rnacentral:rRNA from 1 species
AUUGAACGCUGGCGGCAUGCCUUACACAUGCAAGUCGAACGGUAACAGGUCUUCGGAUGCUGACGGGUGGCGAACGGGUGAGUAAUACAUCGGAACGUGCCCGAUCGUGGGGGAUAACGAAGCGAAAGCUUUGCUAAUACCGCAUAAGAUCUAAGGAUGAGAGCAGGGGACCGCAAGGCCUUGCGCGAACGGAGCGGCCGAUGGCAGAUUAGGUAGGUGGUGGGAUAAAAGCUUACCAAGCCGACGAUCUGUAGCUGGUCUGUGAGGACGACCAGCCACACUGGGACUGAGACACGGCCCAGACUCCUACGGGAGGCAGCAGUGGGGAAUUUUGGACAAUGGGCGAAAGCCUGAUCCAGCCAUGCCGCGUGCAGGAUGAAGGCCUUCGGGUUGUAAACUGCUUUUGUACGGAACGAAAAGACUCUUUCUAAUAAAGAGGGUCCAUGACGGUACCGUAAGAAUAAGCACCGGCUAACUACGUGCCAGCCGCCGCAGUAA